UACGAAGGGGGCUAGCGUUGCUCGGAAUCACUGGGCGUAAAGGGUGCGUAGGCGGGUCUUUAAGUCAGGGUGAAUCCUGGAGCUCAACUCCAGAACUGCCUUUGAUACUGAGGAUCUUGAGUCCGGGAGAGGUGAGUGGAACUGCGAGUGUAGAGGUGAAAUUCGUAGAUAUUCGCAAGAACACCAGUGGCGAAGGCGGCUCACUGGCCCGGUACUGACGCUGAGGCACGAAAGCGUGGGGAGCAAACAGG
rnacentral:rRNA from 1 species